rnacentral:rRNA from 1 species
AUUGAACGCUGGCGGCAGGCCUAACACAUGCAAGUCGAGCGAGCGGCGGACGGGGGAGUAAUGUAUGGGGACUGCCCGAUAGAGGGGGAUAACUACUGGCAACGGUAGCUAAUACCGCAUACUAUCGGAUAACCCAUAUGGGAUUAGCUAUUAGGUGAGGUAAUUGCUCACCUAGGCGACGAUCCCUAGCUGGUCUGAGAGGAUGAUCAGUCACACUGGAACUGAGACACUGCACUGAAGCCUACGGAGGCGGCAGUGGUGAAUAUUGCACAAUGGGCGCAAGCCGGAAUCAGCCAUGGAGCGUGGAUGAAGAAGGCCCUAGGGUUGUAAUGUACUUUCAGUCGGGAGGCGUUACCGACAGAAGAAGCACCGGCUAACUCCGUGCCAGCAGCCGCGGUAAUAC